rnacentral:rRNA from 1 species
GACGAACGCUGGCGGCAUGCCUAAUACAUGCAAGUCGAGCGAACGGAUGAAGUGCUUGCACUUCUGACGUUAGCGGCGAACGGGUGAGUAACACGUAAGGAAUCUACCUAUAAGCGGGGGAUAACAUUCGGAAACGGGUGCUAAUACCGCAUAAUAUCUUCUUCCGCAUGGAAGAAGAUUGAAAGACGGCUCUGCUGUCACUUAUAGAUGACCUUGCGGUGCAUUAGUUAGUUGGUGGGGUAAUGGCCUACCAAGACGAUGAUGCAUAGCCGACCUGAGAGGGUGCUCGGCCACAUUGGGACUGAGACACGGCCCAAACUCCUACGGGAGGCAGCAGUAGGGAAUCUUCCGCAAUGGGCGAAAGCCUGACGGAGCAAUGCCGCGUGAGUGAAGAAGGCCUUCGGGUCGUAAAACUCUGUUAUAAGAGAAGAACAAAUUGUAGAGUACUGCUACAGUCUUGACGGUAUCUUAUCAGAAAGCCACGGCUAACUACGUGCCAGCCGCCGCCGUAA